AACGAACGCUGGCGGCAGGCCUAACACAUGCAAGUCGAGCGCCCAGCAAUGGGAGCGGCAGACGGGUGAGUAACGCGUGGGAACCUUCCCGAUAGUACGGAAUAGCCCAGGGAAACUUGGAGUAAUACCGUAUACGCCCGAAAGGGGAAAGAUUCAUCGCUAUCGGAUGGGCCCGCGUAGGAUUAGCUAGUUGGUGAGGUAAUGGCUCACCAAGGCGACGAUCCUUAGCUGGUUUGAGAGAAUGACCAGCCACACUGGGACUGAGACACGGCCCAGACUCCUACGGGAGGCAGCAGUGGGGAAUCUUGGACAAUGGGCGCAAGCCUGAUCCAGCCAUGCCGCGUGAGUGACGAAGGUCUUCGGAUUGUAAAGCUCUUUUGCCAGGGACGAUAAUGGCGGUACCUGGAGAAUAAGCCCCGGCUAACUUCGUGCCAGCAGCCGCAGUAACAC
rnacentral:rRNA from 1 species